UACGAAGGUCCCGAGCGUUAUCCGGAUUUAUUGGGUUUAAAGGGUGCGUAGGCGGGUUAUUAAGUCAGUGGUGAAAGCCUUCAGCUUAACUGAAGAACUGCCAUUGAUACUGAUGAUCUUGAGUAUGAUUGAGGUGGGCGGAAUGUGUCAUGUAGCGGUGAAAUGCUUAGAUAUGACACAGAACACCAAUUGCGAAGGCAGCUUACUAAAGUAUGAUUGACGCUGAGGCACGAAAGCGUGGGGAUCAAACAGG
rnacentral:rRNA from 1 species